CUGCUGCCUUCCGUAUGAGUUUGGUCCGUGUCUCAGUACCAAUGUGGGGGGUUGACCUCUCAGUCCCCCUAUGUAUCGUCGCCUUGGUGAGCCGUUACCUCACCAACUAGCUAAUACAACGCAUGUCCAUCUCUGACCACCUGAGUUUUCAACCACCGAAGAUGCCUCCGGUGAUGUUAUGGGGUAUUAGUACCAAUUUCUCGAUGUUAUCCCCCUGUCAAAGGUAGGUUACAUACGCGUUACGCACCCGUCCGCCGGUCGCCGG
rnacentral:rRNA from 1 species